rnacentral:rRNA from 1 species
AAAAAGGCGGCGUAAAGCUGUCGCUAAAGGGAUGGACCCUGCGAUGCAUUAGCUAGUUGGUAAGGUAACGGCUUACCAAGGCGAUGAUGCAUAGCCGAGUUGAGAGACUGAUCGGCCACAUUGGGACUGAGACACGGCCCAAACUCCUACGGGAGGCAGCAGUAGGGAAAUCUUCCACAAUGGACGAAAGUCUGAUGGAGCAAACGCCGCGUGAGUGAAGAAGGUUUUCGGAUCGUAAAGCUCUGUUGUUGGUGAAGAAGGAUAGAGGUAGUAACUGGCCUUUAUUUGACGGUAAUCAACCAGAAAGUCACGGCUAACUACGUGCCAGCAGCCCGGUAAU